CAUUUAAUAAAACCGUGUUCCAAAAUAGCUGUAUUAAUUAAUUACAGGCAAAAUAUAACAUUUAACAUUAACACUGGGCCAUCUGAUAUGCGACAUCUAUCAAAGAGACUCGCGUUGGGCACGUUCCGAGCAAUGAGCUUGGAUGUGUUUCCUGGGAGCACUCCAUUAAAGAAGUUUUAUGAAGAAUAAGAUCUGAGACUUGAUACGGCUUGUAUAAGGAAAGAUAUAGCAUAAGAACGUUUUAUGGUGAUACAUCCUUGACAUUGUAUGUGAUUGAAGAUGGUGGAAGUUUUUGGAUUUAUGGUACGCCAUACUUGUACAAUAAUACCCAUUCGUCGUCCCGCCCUCUGGCUAGAUGGCGGGAUGACUUAACCAAGAGGGUCGACGAUGACUAUAUGCAUAAAGCAGCAGACCGGGCUCUGUGGCGUAUCUUGGGAGAGGCCUAUGCAGUGGACUGCAACGGGCUAAUGAUGAUAAUGAUACUCGUACAUGUUUGCUGUGUAAAAAUGUGCGGUCACAGAAAUUACGUAGUUUUUAUCCUGUUUUUGCGUCGCAGUGUUUAAAUCUUAGUAAUAUGAAAAAAUAAUUUAAAAAGUC